CUGGCGGCAGGCCUAACACAUGCAAGUCGAGCGGUAACAUUUCUAGCUUGCUUGAAGAUGACGAGCGGCGGACGGGUGAGUAAUGCUUGGGAACAUGCCUUGAGGUGGGGGACAACCAUUGGAAACGAUGGCUAAUACCGCAUAAUGUCUACGGACCAAAGGGGGCUUCGGCUCUCGCCUUUAGAUUGGCCCAAGUGGGAUUAGCUAGUUGGUGAGGUAAAGGCUCACCAAGGCGACGAUCCCUAGCUGGUUUGAGAGGAUGAUCAUCCACACUGGAACUGAGACACGGUCCAGACUCCUACGGGAGGCAGCACUGGGGAAUAUUGCACAAUGGGCGCAAGCCUGAUGCAGCCAUGCCGCGUGUGUGAAGAAGGCCUUCGGGUUGUAAAGCACUUUCAGUCAGGAGGAAAGGUUAGUAGUUAAUACCUGCUAGCUGUGACGUUACUGACAGAAGAAGCACCGGCUAACUCCGUGCCAGCAGCCGCGGUAAUACGGAGGGUGCGAGCGUUAAUCGGAAUUACUGGGCGUAAAGCGUACGCAGGCGGUUUGUUAAGCGAGAUGUGAAAGCCCCGGGCUUAACCUGGGAACUGCAUUUCGAACUGGCAAACUAGAGUGUGAUAGAGGGUGGUAGAAUUUCAGGUGUAGCGGUGAAAUGCGUA
rnacentral:rRNA from 1 species